GGCAUGGUAAGCAGUGCAAUCUUGUCCGCUGCAGUUCAAAAAUGUUGCUCUUUUUAUUAUGUUUCCUCUUAUUUUGUAAUUUUCUUUGCAUCCGCUAUGCACGGUACGGCAUGACGACAAGGUCUUUGUACUUUACGAUGGGCAAUAUUUCUUGAGUUUAAAAUGUUGGUCGAGCACUAAUAGUGAAGCAUGGAUUCCGAUUGUCACUUGUACGGCUAGAUAGCUGGAUUGGAGGGGUCUCUAUCAGGG
rnacentral:lncRNA from 1 species